GUUUUUCCUUGUCCGUCGUUAGCCGGUUGUAGUUGCACAGGCAACUAACAAAACGACACCAUUGAAGAACAUCAAAAAAACCCUCAUCGACACCGCAGACGAAGAGUUUAGAUUACGAAAUUAUGAUGCUUAAACAUGGAUAAAAUUGUCAAACGAAGAAAAAUAAUGUCCAAGGAACUGGCAUAUCGGUCAACUAAGGCCUCAAUCCUCUGGCUCACAAGGGCUUCUCUGUUCUUAGUUGGUUCUUUUUCUUGGAAAAAUAAGAUACAUUCAAUGGGUUUUGGAAAUUUUUGGAGAUGAAUCCCUAAUAAGCUUUGAAAAUGGCAAGAGUGUUUAUCAAGGUUUGUACAUAUGCCAAUAGAUCUCUAAAUCUACUCAAAUCUGUCGCUCUGCAUUUGUCUUUAUAUCUGAAUUAUUGCUUAACAAGUUGCUUUUCCUAUUAUACAUCUUCAUUCUCUAGGAAACUAGAAAAGCGCUAUAUACUAAAAGUUCUUCUUGCUUCUACUUGACUUCUAAGGAGACAGCAGCCAGUCUCAUCAAUGAGACCUUUUCUUUUCAUCUUGGCACUGUAGUGGUGGUGGUUUGGUUGGUGGAAUCCAAGAAUGGACCACCUAACUCAAUGAAAUUAGACUGUAGAUUCCCAUUUUCACUUGAUAAUAUAACCUGAUUUAUGUCCAUCCAACCUUACCCUUCACAGAAUUCCUCUUCAUCUCUUGACUUCCCCUAAUGUGUCCUGUAAUUUCUUCUCUCCAGUCUUUCUCUGUUGAGGUGAAUUCUGCAGUGAAAUUUUGGUAGCAAGCUUGCAAGACUAUAUAAUUCAUUCAAUGUUCUAUUGCAAUGGAAUGGUAUCUGCGGAAUCACAGAAUUGGCGACUUGCAUGUGCCUGGUUAUGUGAAUUGAUGGGCUUGAUGGCUACGCCCAGCCAGUUUUCAGAGAGAGAUGGGCACAAAAUAUUAAGGUAUGCUACCCUCUGCCUUUGGUGAUGAAUAAUCUGCCAUCAGUGUGCCUGUUUACCGUUAAGAUUGGAGGACUAAAAAGUAAGUAUUAUUUUAGAUACUAUUAAAAAAAAUAAUUUCAAAAAAAAUUUGUUUUAUCAUUUUAAUAUUUUUUAUAAAUAAAACUUAUCAAAUUUAAUUUUAAUUUAUUUUUUAAUACUACCUCACUAAUAUAUUUAAAAAAUUAUGUUUUACGAUAGCAAUUCUAUAUACCAAAAUGCCAGGACUAUAUGACUAAUCUCCCUUUCUAUAAGCUUGUUUAUGGGGUAAAUUUAAUUGUUCUUAGUAGUCAUGUAGGACUGAGCAUUCUAUUCAAAUCGAAUCAAAUAGAAUCGAAUUAUGAAAACUAAAUUAACUGAAUUAUUAUAUUUUAAAACUAGACUGAAUUGAAAUGAAUGAAAAAUUGAAUCGAACAGAACUAUUCUAUUUUUGGUUCAGUGCAGUUCAAACCAAUCAGUUUUUAAGUUUUGAUAGGUUUUUCAAUUUGGACUUGA